GAGUUGUAUUUGCAGAGGAUGUUUCGGGCGCGGUGCCGGUCUAAGUCCCUUGGAACAGGGCGUCACGGAGGGUGAGAACCCCGUAUGAGACCGGCGGCCAACCCCGCGGGAAACUCCUUCGACGAGUCGAGUUGUUUGGGAAUGCAGCUCAAAAUGGGUGGUAAAUUUCAUCUAAAGCUAAAUACCGGCCAGAGACCGAUAGCGCACAAGUAGAGUGAUCGAAAGAUGAAAAGCACUUUGGAAAGAGAGUCAAAAAGCACGUGAAAUUGUUGAAAGGGAAGCGCUUGCGACCAGACCUGCCCGCGGGCGACCAGCCCCUGGAGGAUCAGGGGUGUACGCGCCCGCGAUCAGGCCAGCAUCGGUUCGGGCGGCGGGACAAAGGCCCGGGGAACGUGGCUCCCUCCGGGGAGUGUUACAGCCCCGGGCGUCAUGCCGCCAGCCCGGACCGAGGACCGCGCUCCGGCUAGGAUGCUGGCGUAAUGGUCGUAAGCGGCCCGUCUUGAAACACGGACCAAGGAGUGGACCAUCUGUGCGAGUGUUUGGGCGUCAAACCCAUGCGCGCAAUGAAAGUGAACGGAGGUGAGACCCCCGUCAGGGGCGCAUCAUCGACCGAUCCAGAUGUCUUCGGAUGGAUUUGAGUAGGAGCACAGCUGGUCCGACCCGAAAGAUGGCGAUCUAUUUCUGGAUAGGGUGAAGCCAGAGGAAACUCUGGUGGAGGCUCGCAGCGGUUCUGACGUGCAAAUCGAUCGUCAAAUCUGGAAAUAGGGGCGAAAGACUAGCGCUUGCGACCAGACCUGCCCGCGGGCGACCAGCCCCUGGAGGAUCAGGGGUGUACGCGCCCGCGAUCAGGCCAGCAUCGGUUCGGGCGGCGGGACAAAGGCCCGGGGAACGUGGCUCCCUCCGGGGAGUGUUACAGCCCCGGGCGUCAUGCCGCCAGCCCGGACCGAGGACCGCGCUCCGGCUAGGAUGCUGG
rnacentral:rRNA from 1 species